GCCAGACUCCUACGGGAGGCAGCAGUGAGGAAUAUUGGUCAAUGGGCGGAAGCCUGAACCAGCCAAGUCGCGUGAGGGACUAAGGCCCUGCGGGUCGUAAACCUCUUUUGCCGGGGAGCAGUGGUCCGGACGCGUCCGGACCGGGAGAGUACCCGGAGAAAAAGCAUCGGCUAACUCCGUGCCAGCAGCCGCGGUAAUACGGAGGAUGCGAGCGUUAUCCGGAUUUAUUGGGUUUAAAGGGUGCGUAGGCGGGCUGUUAAGUCAGCGGUAAAAUGUCGGGGCUCAACCCCGGCCUGCCGUUGAAACUGGCGGCCUCGAGUGGGCGAGAAGUAUGCGGAAUGCGUGGUGUAGCGGUGAAAUGCAUAGAUAUCACGCAGAACUCCGAUUGCGAAGGCAGCAUACCGGCGCCCGACUGACGCUGAGGCACGAAAGCGUGGGUAUCGAACAGGAUUAGAUACCCCCGUACGA
rnacentral:rRNA from 1 species